CAGAGUACCACGGGACACGUGAAACCCUGUGGGAAGCAGGAGGGACCACCCUCCAAGGCUAAAUACUACCUAGUGACCGAUAGCGUAUAGUACCGUGAGGGAAAGGUGAAAAGAACCCCGGGAGGGGAGUGAAAUAGAACCUGAAACCCUGCACUUACAAGCUGUGGAAGCACAUUUCUUGUGUGACCGCGUACUUUUUGUAGAACGGGCCAACGAGUUACGUUAAGUAGCAAGGUUAAGCACUUAAGGUGCGGAGCCGUAGCGAAAGCGAGUUUUAACUGAGCGUUCAGUUACUUGACGUAGACCCGAAACCGGGCGACCUACCCAUGAGCAGGAUGAAGCGAAAGUAAAAUUUCGUGGAGGUCCGAACCCACGAGCGUUGAAAAGCUCGGGGAUGACUUGUGGGUAGCGGUGAAAUUCCAAUCGAGCCCGGAGAUAGCUGGUUCUCCCCGAAAUAGCUUUAGGGCUAGCCUCAAGGUGAGAGAUACGGAGGUAGAGCACUGAAUGUCCUAGGGGGUAUUGCACCUACCGAAGACUAUCAAACUCCGAAUGCCGUCAUCUUAUACUUGGGAGUCAGACUGUGGGUGAUAAGAUUCAUAGUCGAAAGGGCAACAGCCCAGAUCGUCAGCUAAGGUCCCUAAAUGUAAGUUAAGUGGUAAAGGAUGUGGGAUUGCACAGACAACCAGGAUGUUGGCUUAGAAGCAGCCACUCAUUCAAAGAGUGCGUAAUAGCUCACUGGUCGAGUGAUCCUGCGCCGAAGAUUUCCGGGGCUAAAACUUACUACCGAAGCUACGGCAUCAGUAAUGAUGGGUAGGGGAGCUUCCCAUACGGGUUGAAGCAUGACCGUAAGGACAUGUGGACAGUAUGGGAGUGAGAAUGUUGGCAUGAGUAGCGAGAUGUGGGUGAGAAUCCCACAGGCCGUAAACCCAAGGUUUCCAGGGGA
rnacentral:rRNA from 1 species